rnacentral:rRNA from 1 species
UACGGAGGGAGCUAGCGUUGUUCGGAAUUACUGGGCGUAAAGCGCACGUAGGCGGCUUUGUAAGUUAGAGGUGAAAGCCCGGGGCUCAACCCCGGGUCGGCCGUGCGGACUGCCGGGCUGGAGCACUGUAGAGGCAGGUGGAAUUCCGGGUGUAGCGGUGGAAUGCGUAGAGAUCCGGAAGAACACCGGUGGCGAAGGCGGCCUGCUGGGCAGUAGCUGACGCUGCAGCGCGACAGCGUGGGGAGCAAACAGG